rnacentral:rRNA from 1 species
GGCGGCGCGCUUAAUACAUGCAAGUCGAACGAGAAGCCAGAGCUUGCUCUGGUGGAAAGUGGCGAACGGGUGAGUAACACGUGAGAAACCUGCCCAAAGAUUGGGAUAAGCCUUGGAAACGAGGUCUAAUACCAAAUACCUUCUUUUAACACAUGUUAAAAGAAGAAAUGCUCCGGCGCUUUGGGAUGGUCUCGCGAUCUAUCAGCUUGUUGGUGAGGUAACGGGCUCACCAAGGCAUCGACGGAUAGCUGGUCUGAGAGGAUGUCCAGCCACAUUGGAACUGAGACACGGUCCAAACUCCUACGGGAGGCAGCAGUAGGGAAUCUUGCACAAUGAGGGAAACCUUGAUGCAGCGACGCCGCGUGCGGGACGAAGGCCCUAGGGUUGUAAACCGCUUUCAGUAGGGACGAAAGUGACGGUACCUACAGAAGAAGCCCCGGCCAACUAUGUG